AUGAGUACCUGUAAAAAGGCCAGGGCGGAAGGUAUAUGUGUUGUGACUUUAGAUAGACUGAGCAGCCUACCGCCAGAGAUAAAGGGCAACAUCCUCUCCCUUUUGAAUGUCGAAGAAGCAGUUAGGACUUGCACCUUAUCAAGUACUUGGAGGGAUGCAUGGGCUAAUAUGCCAAAAAUAUCUCUGCGCGAUGGAAAUUUUGCACGAACCAAGUUCGUUACGUUGGUCGAUAUGGUGCUAUCACUCCACAAAGGAACUAUAGAAGAGUGUCAUAUUUCAGGUAACAAAAAUUACCAUGAUGAGUUCGGUAGGUGGAUGCUCAUGCUGUCAAGAAAAUCACCAAGAUCAGUUAUAAUCAAGUUGAACUCAGGGCCAAUGUAUAGGAUUCCCUCAUGCCUCUUUUCUCUCGGCGAUCUGAAGUCUCUGCGACUGAAAAACUGCAUUAUCAGCUUGCCACGGGUAUUCCAAGGUUUCAAGAGCCUAACUUACCUCAGCCUGAGCUUUUUCUCCUCCACAGACAGGGAUAUCCAAAAUCUGAUCUCCUUUUGUCCUGAACUGACUUAUUUGAGAUUAACUUCUUUUGAGGGCAUCAAAUGUCUAAACAUUCAAUCUCCUACACUGGAAGAUCUUGUUGAUGGGUACUUUGAAGACAUUAAUUUAGAUGCCCCUAAUCUGGAGGAGGCCAUUCUCUCUCUUGAUCUCAAAGCUAAGUCAUAUCAAUUUGUUCCAAUUCCGCAUGACAAGGAAAGCCAUGUCAAGCAGUCAUUGGGAAGCCUGAGUGACAUCGAAAUGCUUUUAGUUGGUGGUUUUUUCAUGAAGUAUCUAUCAAAGGGGUGCAUAGUUACGAAGCUCCCUGUCGUGUUUACUCGCCUAGAGGAUAUUUAUCUUGUGAUAUGCCUUUCGGACCAGAGGCAAGUCUUGACCGCGUGUUCAUUAUUUCAGAAUGCCCCCAACUUGAAGAACCUUGGGAUGUUGAGUUACCCUUCGAGAACAUGGGAUGAGGAUAAGGCUAGCAUUCAAGAGCUUACCCUGCAAAUGCAAAUGGACCAUCUCGUAACAGCUAGUGUGAAAGAAUUUAGGGGUCGGGACUACGAAGUCGAUUUCGUGGCAAAGCUACUGACCUGGGCACCUGCUUUGGAAGAAGUGAAAUUAGAGUGGAAGGGUCAAAUAGACCGCAGCAUGGUUCUUACCAAGCUAUUAGCUCUGCCGAGAGUGUCUCCCAGGGCCAAGGUCAUUGUUACAUGA
rnacentral:rRNA from 1 species